GAUGAACGCUAGCGGCAGGCUUAAUACAUGCAAGUCGAGGGGCAGCACGGUUAGCAAUAACUGGUGGCGACCGGCGCACGGGUGCGUAACACGUAUACAAUCUACCUUAAACAGGGGAUAGCCUUUCGAAAGAGAGAUUAAUACCCCGUAAUAAAUUGAACGGCAUCGUUUGAUUUUGAAAGCUCCGGCGGUUUGAGAUGAGUAUGCGUCUGAUUAGCUAGUUGGUGAGGUAACGGCUCACCAAGGCGACGAUCAGUAGGGGAUCUGAGAGGACUAACCCCCACACUGGUACUGAGACACGGACCAGACUCCUACGGGAGGCAGCAGUAAGGAAUAUUGGGCAAUGGGCGGAAGCCUGACCCAGCCACGCCGCGUGCAGGAAGACGGCCCUCUGGGUUGUAAACUGCUUUUAACUGGGAAGAAAGCAGCUCAUGCGUGAGAAUUUGACGGUACCAGUUGAAUAAGCCACGGCUAACUACGUGCCAGCAGCCGCGGU
rnacentral:rRNA from 1 species